rnacentral:rRNA from 1 species
UACGAAGGGGGCUAGCGUUGUUCGGAAUUACUGGGCGUAAAGCGCACGUAGGCGGAUCGUUAAGUGAGGGGUGAAAUCCCAGGGCUCAACCCUGGAACUGCCUUUCAUACUGGCGAUCUUGAGUUCGAGAGAGGUGAGUGGAAUUCCGACUGUAGAGGUGAAAUUCGUAGAUAUUCGGAGGAACACCAGUGGCGAAGGCGGCUCACUGGCUCGAUACUGACGCUGAGGUGCGAAAGCGUGGGGAGCAAACAGG